rnacentral:lncRNA from 1 species
AGUUUAGGCUCCUAGGAGACUUGAUUCUGGCUGACGUGCUGCGACUGUCAUCUUUCAGAUCAGAGUAACUCUGAGUCUGGUGGGAGUGUCUUCCCCCGACACCCCGUAUACCUCCGCUUUAAGAUGAGAGAAUCUUCUGUCGGUGCUAGCGUUCAGCGGCUAACGGAGGAGGCUUGACUCAACCUGCCGGACACUAAAGGACAUCACUCUGAGCCUGAGGGAGGGGCUCUCCUUUGGUCUCCCUCUUUUGUCCAGCCUUGCCCCAGGAUAUUUUUCUAAGCUGAGUUAGCCACUAGGCACUCCACAUCGCUGCCCGCAUCACCACGCUGCGGCAUCUGCUGUUGCAUCUGCGAUCCACAAGGCCUACACCAUUCGCCAUCGCACCUGGCUGUUUGUUGCAGAUAUUUCUCAGACCUCCUGCUUGAAGCCUGAAGUGUUCCAAGCAUAGAGAUGAUGGACGUGGUAUGGGACAAUCAGUGCACCCGCAGGAGGGGACGGCGGGAACCAAGAUUGGAAGGAACAUUGCUCUCUGUGACUGAGUCUCCGU